GAUGAACGCUGGCGGCGUGCCUAAUACAUGCAAGUCGAGCGAAUGGAUUAAGAGCUUGCUCUUAUGAAGUUAGCGGCGGACGGGUGAGUAACACGUGGGUAACCUGCCCAUAAGACUGGGAUAACUCCGGGAAACCGGGGCUAAUACCGGAUAACAUUUUGAACCGCAUGGUUCGAAAUUGAAAGGCGGCUUCGGCUGUCACUUAUGGAUGGACCCGGGUCGCAUUAGCUAGUUGGUGAGGUAACGGCUCACCAAGGCAACGAUGCGUAGCCGCCCUGAGAGGGUGAUCGGCCACAAUGGGACUGAGACACGGCCCAGACUCCUACGGGAGGCAGCAGUAGGGAAUCUUCCGCAAUGGACGAAAGUCUGACGGAGCAACGCCGCGUGAGUGAUGAAGGCUUUCGGGUCGUAAAACUCUGUUGUUAGGGAAGAACAAGUGCUAGUUGAAUAAGCUGGCACCUUGACGGUACCUAACCAGAAAGCCACGGCUAACUACGUGCCAGCCGCCGCAGUAA
rnacentral:rRNA from 1 species